CCUACGGGCGGCAGCAGUGGGGAAUAUUGGACAAUGGGGGGAACCCUGAUCCAGCCAUGCCGCGUGUGUGAAGAAGGCCCUCGGGUUGUAAAGCACUUUCAGUGAGGAAGAACGCCUGGUGGUUAAUACCCAUCAGGAAAGACAUCACUCACAGAAGAAGCACCGGCUAACUCCGUGCCAGCAGCCGCGGUAAUACGGAGGGUGCGAGCGUUAAUCGGAAUUACUGGGCGUAAAGCGCGCGUAGGUGGCUUGAUAAGCCGGUUGUGAAAGCCCCGGGCUCAACCUGGGAACGGCAUCCGGAACUGUCAAGCUAGAGUGCAGGAGAGGAAGGUAGAAUUCCCGGUGUAGCGGUGAAAUGCGUAGAGGUCGGGAGGAAUACCAGUGGCGAAGGCGGCCUUCUGGACUGACACUGACACUGAGGUGCGAAAGCGUGGGUAGCAAACAGGAUUAGAUACCCCUGUAGUC
rnacentral:rRNA from 1 species